UACGUAGGGGGCGAGCGUUGUCCGGAUUUAUUGGGCGUAAAGAGCGUGUAGGCGGCCAGGUAGGUCUGCUGUGAAAACUCGAGGCUCAACCUCGAGACGUCGGCGGAAACCAUCUGGCUAGAGUCCGGAAGAGGAGAGUGGAAUUCCUGGUGUAGCGGUGAAAUGCGCAGAUAUCAGGAAGAACACCCGUGGUGAAGGCGGCUCUCUGGGACGGUACUGACGCUGAGGUGCGAAAGCGUGGGGAGCAAACAGG
rnacentral:rRNA from 1 species